GAUGAACGCUAGCUACAGGCUUAACACAUGCAAGUCGCGGGACCGGCGCACGGGUGAGUAACGCGUAUCCAACCUGCCCUUCACCACGGGAUAACCCGGCGAAAGUCGGACUAAUACCGUAUGGUGAAGGAGGGGGGUGCGUCAGAUUAGCUUGACGGCGGGGUAACGGCCCACCGUGGCUACGAUCGGGAGGGGGUCUGCGGGGGAGGUCCCCCACACUGGAACUGAGGCACGGUCCAGACGCCUACGGGAGGCAGCAGUGAGGAAUAUUGGGCAAUGGGCGUAAGCCUGAACCAGCCAAGUAGCGUGCAGGACGACGGCCUAUGGGUUGUAAACUGCUUUUAUGCGGGGAUAGGUACCGCAUGAAUAAGGACCGGCUAAUUCCGUGCCAGCAGCCGCGGUAAUUC
rnacentral:rRNA from 1 species